GCUGGGUGUGGUGGCGCAUGCCUGUAACCUUAGCUACUGGGAGGCUGAGGUAUGAGAAUCACUCGAACCCAGGAGGUGGAGGUGGCAGUGAGCCGAGAUGGCACCACUGCACUCCAGCCUGAGUAAUAGAGUGAGACUCUGCCUCAA
ensembl:misc_RNA Metazoa_SRP Metazoan signal recognition particle RNA